UAGGGAAUCUUCCACAAUGGACGCAAGUCUGAUGGAGCAACGCCGCGUGAGUGAAGAAGGCUUUCGGGUCGUAAAACUCUGUUAUUGAAGAAGAACGUGUGUGACAGUAACUGGUCAUGCAGUGACGGUAUUCAAUCAGAAAGUCACGGCUAACUACGUGCCAGCAGCCGCGGUAAUACGUAGGUGGCAAGCGUCGUCCGGAUUUAUUGGGCGUAAGGCGAGUGCAGGCGGUCUUUUAAGUCUGAUGUGAAAGCCUUCGGCUUAACCGAAGAAGGGCAUCGGAAACUGGGAGACUUGAGUGCAGAAGAGGAGAGUGGAACUCCAUGUGUAGCGGUGAAAUGCGUAGAUAUAUGGAAGAACACCAGUGGCGAAGGCGGCUCUCUGGUCUGUAACUGACGCUGAGGCUCGAAAGCGUGGGUAGCAAACAGGAUUAGAUACCCUGGUAGUCC
rnacentral:rRNA from 1 species